CCUACGGGAGGCAGCAGUGGGGAAUCUUAGACAAUGGGCGCAAGCCUGAUCUAGCCAUGCCGCGUGAGUGAUGAAGGCCUUAGGGUCGUAAAGCUCUUUCGCCAGGGAUGAUAAUGACAGUACCUGGUAAAGAAACCCCGGCUAACUCCGUGCCAGCAGCCGCGGUAAUACGGAGGGGGUUAGCGUUGUUCGGAAUUACUGGGCGUAAAGCGCACGUAGGCGGAUCAGAAAGUAAGGGGUGAAAUCCCAGGGCUCAACCCUGGAACUGCCUCUUAAACUCCUGGUCUUGAGUUCGAGAGAGGUGAGUGGAAUUCCGAGUGUAGAGGUGAAAUUCGUAGAUAUUCGGAGGAACACCAGUGGCGAAGGCGGCUCACUGGCUCGAUACUGACGCUGAGGUGCGAAAGUGUGGGGAGCAAACAGGAUUAGAUACCCUGGUAGUCCACACCGUAAACGAUGAAUGCCAGUCGUCGGGCAGUAUACUGUUCGGUGACACACCUAACGGAUUAAGCAUWCCGCCUGGGGAGUACGGUCGCAAGAUUAAAACUCAAAGGAAUUGACGG
rnacentral:rRNA from 1 species